UUUGAACAGCAGAGAAUUCCAGAGGAAUUCCUACAGAUUUCUCAGGAACAUCGACAGGGAAUUAAAUAGAAUUGUUUAGGAGAGUUAAACAAUUAGUUAUUGAGUUCUUUCAUUUAUAAUUUUUUAAGAGAAGAUCGAGGGAAUUCCAAUGGAAUCUAAUCGACAUCGACUGGGAAUUCCAUAAAACUGUUCAAAGAUGAUUAUAAAUUCCGUUGCUGAGGUUCUUCGUACGUGUGACUCAUUAAAACCCGUGACAAAUGAUGCUGAAGACGAUAGUCAACGAAUACUCAAGAAAAUUUUCAGAAGAUGAGGGAAUAACGUGAAUUCUCAACGAGGAAAACCCGCUCUUCCUCGAACGUAAAUAGACUGACACGAGGAAAAGUGAAUAUGCAUGCACGAGAAUCACCAGCGGAAUAUCAACUCGAUAAUUACGAGACCUUGACUGAUCAGGAAGCAAUCGAUUG